GAGANAAAAAAAAGAGGUCAAUUUGCGAAAGCCAUGGCGAUGAGGAUGAGGCAACGUUUGAUCCUCUGGCUGAUCGUGGUCGGAUUCAUCAACGUGGGCCUCGUCAUAAGUAUUCUGAUUCAGCUGAAGUCGUCGUGCGAGGGUGGAUGAACCGAGUGCAACAAACUCCGUACGCUGUCCCAUCCAAAGACGACGGGCUCCUUGUCAUGAUGAUACGUUGUUGUUUUUUUUUUGUUGUUUCUUUACGAUCGUUUCGUUUUUCGUCCAUUUGCAUGCGGCUAAGGAACGAUUAAUAUCGAAAAAUCCUUCGACGUGACCGGAUUGUCCGAUUAGGACGUCGCGCUCAUUGCCGCCAUUGCCGUCUCCAUGGGAACCCAGGAGAAGAUGUUGCCUUUCCUCGGCGACCAAGAAAAAAACAACAAAAACAAAGCAGAGACGCUCGAGAAAGGAACGAGCGGACGGAGCAAAAGCGGAGACUUUUGAGUGGAAUCGGAUGCGGGAUGAGAGAAGGAGGUCAUUUGCAUCCGCCUCGGUCCAAUUCACCAACACACACACACACACGCACACAACGAGAGAUCGUUCAAAAUUCAAAUAGAGACGAGAGACGGACGGCGCCAUCUGUCGCAGCGCGUCCCGAACCUUCUCCACUCAUCUUGGACAAGAAUUUAGGCGGGGGAAAAGCAAGUCACCGCUGUUGCUCUUCCAUUGGACCGUCGCGGCGCUCUGGAUCGACUGUGCUAAUAGAAUUCGCGCGAAUCCCCUGAUCCCAGCAUUCAAACAACUUCU